rnacentral:rRNA from 1 species
UACGGAGGGUGCAAGGCGUUAUCCGGAUUUACUGGGUUUAAAGGGUGCGCAGGCGGAUAUGUAAGUCAGUGGUGAAAUCUCUGGGCUUAACCCGGAAAUUGCCAUUGAUACUAUAUAUCUUGAAUGUUGUGGAGGUAAGCGGAAUAUGUCAUGUAGCGGUGAAAUGCUUAGAUAUGACAUAGAACACCUAUUGCGAAGGCAGCUUACUACGCAGAUAUUGACGCUCAUACAGAAAAGCGUGGGGGAUCAAACAGG